rnacentral:lncRNA from 1 species
AUCAAUGCAGCAAAGUGUAAAGUGGUGACAGAGUUUCAGAUAAAUUCUUCGCAAAAUAUUUGCUGUGCAUCAAUAAUUCUGAUAUUAAUUACUUUACAGUUUAUCUGCAAGUGCUUUGGGAAUAAUACGCAGUUCACUGUCUCAGUAGCCCAACUAACAAGGGGCUCGAAGCGUGGCUCAGAUUAUCUUCUAGACCUGCUCGGUGUUGGCGUACUUCAAGAACAAACAAAUCUGUCCCUGUUCUGUGCAUCGCUGUUGCAAAUCUGUUGUCAGAGGUUUGAGAACCAACAGCAAGUGGAAUCAGCUGGAGAUGCUGAGGCAGGAAACUCAGGAUCCGAGGAAGCUUGGGGAGCAGAGGUUAACUCCUUCGGCUGAGCCACAGACCUGCCUCUUCCUUCUGGUGAGGGGAUUUACAGAAACGAAGCCUGAAGCAUGGAACCAUCUUCCCUUCUGUCUGUGGAUGUUGGCGUGUGAAUGUUGGUGAUCUCAGUUAUGAUGCUUGACUCGUUGCUUUCUUGAUGCAGUUUUGUACAGAAAUACGUCAUGGUGGAUUGCAACUACAUUCACAUUGUUAAUUUGGACAAAGAUCAAUGAGCUGUGAAUGUCUGUGGAGUCACCUUACCAGAAAGUAGCAAUAGCAAAAGUUUUGGUUCUAUUUCUAGUAGGGGCAAAACUGUUGCCAAGUGUGUUGCUGAGGAACAAGCUGUUUAAAUUAAAUAAUAACUUAAUCCUCCUAUUUCUCCCUCCCAUUUGUACAACACAGCAGAGUGUACGCUGACAGAUGCUGGCCUAUGCUCUCUUCACGUUGUUCCCAUAUCAGUAGAUCUCACAUUAUUGUUCAAGGUAUUCAUCAUGUUGCAUGGAGCUAAGGAUAUUAGAAUGCUGCUAGAGCCCAUGAGACAGAGUUGUCAUCUUCAAGGUGAUGAGGAUAUUGAUUUCUGAGGACACUGGAUGAGCAGGAUGCUGUUUGUUACUGUAUUAUACUUGUGGGCCUGCAAGUUGGAAGGAAAAGAGGCUCUAAAUAACUAAAUUCCUGGUUAGGAUAGGUGGAGCAUAAGAAGUGGAUAGAAAAGAGCUUCCUGGUUAUAGCUCAAUGGAGCACUAGAUUGCAGGAGCGAGUCUUGUACACAUCUGAAUAAACUCCAUAUUUAUGAAGAGAUACA